CGACUUAGCUCAGUUGGUAGAGCAGCUGAUUUGUAAUCAGCAGGUCGUGGGUUCGAGUCCCACAAUCGG
rnacentral:tRNA from 1 species